GCAGCGGGAGCCGGGGCCGGAACCGGAGCCCGAGCCGGGCAGGAGGAGCCGCAGUGGGAGCCGGGCGUGGUGAGCGGAGAGCGGUGAGCGGAGCUGCCCCGGCCCCAGCGGGGCGGCUGCGGGCAGGAAGGUGCCGCGCUGCCGGUUGCGCCUGAGCCGGAGCAUCCCGGCGGGGUCAGCCGCCUUCAUUUUCCAAGGGAGGUGGGCACUCCGGGUUUGGGGUGCUUUUUUUCCCCCCUGCCCUAGUACCCCGUGCGCGUUGUUCCUGCCCUCGGCCGGCAGGGCUGCCCGGCGGCCGGGCGCUGUUGCUCGCACGUCCCGCAGCGCCGGGGCUGCUCCUCCCGCUGUCCGGCACCGGCUGAGGCGGGUCCCGGCGGGUUUGGGAAGCCGCCGUAAGCUCAGGAGCAGCGCCCGCCGUGCCUCGCCGGUGCUGCUGCUCCGAGAGAGCCUUCUCAGCGGUUUGCCUGUCCUGUGCCGUAACCAAGGGCAUUUGAUUUUCAGAAGCGUUUAACUGAGGUGCUUUUCUCACCAUACAGUCCCUUUAGAUUUGGGUGUGAUAACCAACCUGCACAUUGGACAUUUGGCUUGUAUCCCCAUAUCUUCUUCCUGCUUUUCCAAAGGAUAUGAUCUUAAAUUGUCCUGGCUUGAGCAGUAAAGGAUAAAUUUGUUCACUGUCUGACUCGUCAUCUCACCGUUGUGAUGGAAAAAUGCUCGCUUAAUAUAAACCCUUUUUAUUCUACUAAAACCUUUGAAUACAAGAUCUGUUGUGAUUUUUAAAACACAAAUCCAGUAAUGUCAGAACCUGACCCUUCAUCUGGAUUUGCAGGAAACAUGGAAAAUGGGACUUUUCUGGAGCUGUAUCCCACAUCUCUUUCAACUUCAGUGGAUUCAUCACCUGGCCGUUUAUCCAAUGUUUAUGUCUAUGUUUCUAUAUUCCUUAGCCUCUUAGCUUUUCUCCUUUUGCUAUUGAUCAUUGCACUUCAGAGGCUGAAAAACAUAAUUUCUUCCAGUUCCUCCUACCCAGAAUACAAUAGUGAUGCUGGAAGUUCGUUCACUAAUUUAGAGGUUUGUAGUAUUUCUUCCCAGCGCUCUGCUCUCUCAAACCUUUCUUCAUGAAACUAAAUGAAAGGGGAAUGGAAGAGCUCUGUCUAGUUUCUUGGGGAGGUAAUGCAUGCAACAUUCACCUCAGAAGACUAUUAGGAAGAGGACGUUUUUUAAGUUUCCUUAUUUUUUUCCCCUUUCCUUUUCUAGUCUUCAUUUCCUCUUUAACUAAUUUUCAUUUUGGACUAUGGAUAAUGAUACUUGAUCAUCAUUUCUUGCCUGUAAUAGUGAUGCUGUCUCUUUCUCACACAUAUAUGGUAUUCAUUAAGAGCAUUCCUGCCAAAUUGUAAUACAGUUUUAACUUGAUGUGUCAUUUUUCUGCCCUAGUUGUGACUCCUUCCUUGGUUUUGUGUCAGUAAUAUGCUGACUAAUUUUCUUUCUAAUUUUUUAAUUAUAUAAGGACUUCUGAAUGAAAUCCCUAUUGCAAAAGUAUAAAAAAAAAUCUGCUUAAAUUAUAAAUAUUAUGAAAAUUUGAAGCUGUUGGUAUUGUUUCUUUUUUUUUUUAAUUUUCAUUCUUUUUUGAUGUUUAUAAAACACAACUAAAAUCCAUUUCUUGAAGAACAUUGCCUGUGUUUAUUUGUACUCCCAACUCGUUCUGUAUAAAGUCUGUAUUUCAGUUUUUGAGUCUCUGGUUAACUUAGUAAAGCAACUUUAAUAACAAUACUAUCGAAUGUGUGGAGGUAUUUUUAGACCUGUUGCAGCUCAUUUGCUUAAUGACUUGUUCCUCCAGGGGGCAGCUUUUGCUGCUGAAUCAUAAAUACCACUCAACUCCUUUGCAUUCUUCACUAAUACUGUAGCUUAUUCUUACUGGAUACCAGGACAAACUAGUGAUUUCUUUUAAAAGACCUGCAAUCAACAAAUAUAGUUUGCAAGGGAAUAGCUCCUAAACUGUCCUUUAGGCACAAGAUAUUUGUACUCAUGUGAGCAGGGCUAGCAGGGACAGAAAUUACUUGUACUGGUGAAGACUUUCUGGGCCAGGUUUUGUCCUGUGAUUUCACAAAUGCACACUGGGGUGGAGCGGGGACUUGAGGAUCUGCGUUAUGGCCAGGCAGACCUGUGCCCUGACCCUCAGAGCUGUACCUGCAGAGGGUAGGAAGGGAUGGGCAGGAAAAUGGCAGUGGCCCUGCCCAUUUUCUCCAUCAGCAUAAGGAAAGGCCAGAGAUGAGAGGGAGAGAAAUGGCUGAUGUUUCAUCAGUCUCAUUCCUUUUUGCCAUGUCAUAGUUUGGGUUAUGAUUCCCCCAGCCCAAAAUGUAACACAUCACUCAAUUUCUGCAGUAAAAUAACUGGAAGCUUUAUGAACAGGAUCCUUUGGUCAGCUGGGCUUUAAAUCAAGCCAAACAUUCAAAGUAGUGAUUCGGAAUGCCAAGUGUGACCUGCUAGGACUGCAGCCACAUACUGCAGUGUGAUGCCUUGUUUUCCUUACUGCACUGUGCAAGCACAGCCCCAUCCUGCCACUCAAGCCCAUGCAACUUUUGCUCUCAUAGCAGGGUCCAAGCUACUGCAGAGACCCGAGGAAGUGAUGUCACUGCUGUUCCUGUUGCUGACAUAACAGCAGGCAUAACAGCUCUGGGAGAUGGAUUGGUCUCAACAGGAACACAGGGCAGCUGCCCUCUCCUUGCAUGGCAAGCCUACUACCCAGCAGGCUUAGAGGUUACAGAGCUGCAGAAGACCUCCCAACCAGAUUUAUGCCUCCUGCAAACCUGUCAUUGUGUUCGUCAACAAGACAGACUGUCAUUUAUUACACAGGCUUUAAAAGAGAAAUUUGGAAAGCCCAGUGUAAAUAUAAUCAUUAUAAAUGCAGCUUCUCAGCAAAACAACACAGAUGAUUCUGGAGUCGGUGUUUUCAAUUUUUUAAAUGACAUAUGGGAUUGUAUAGUCGUCCUGAUUUCAGCUGAGUUGCACCUGUUCUCUUCAGGACAGAUCUGAGCAGAAACAAGUAGGAUCCAACAAAAUAGCAUCAGGAGAAGCCACAGGAGAAAAGCACCAUGGCAUUUUUGAGGAUUGCUAAGUACCAGUUCUUCAAGAAAAAAAAAGAGGAAAGAAAAAACAAACCAAUCUGACAACCUGAGACUGAGUUAACU